rnacentral:lncRNA from 10 species
CAUGGGAGGAGAGAGAUGAUGACGUUACCUAUCCAACAGGGCUGGGUGCAGAUCAAAAGAAAUGAAUGAUUCCUGGGGAAGUACUUUGCGAAUGCUGAAGAUUUAUGUGCGUUUAAGGUGGUAUUAAUUAUUUUUGGCACAGGAAAAGAGUCAAUCAGAAUAUUUGAAGAUCAGCCAAGAAAAAGAACAGCAAGAAUCUUUGGCCCUAGAAGAGUUAGAGUUGCAGAAAAAAGCAAUCCUCACAGAAAGUGAAAAUAAACUUCGGGACCUUCAGCAAGAAGCAGAGACUUACAGAACUAGAAUUCUUGAAUUGGAAAGUUCUUUGGAAAAAA